rnacentral:lncRNA from 1 species
CUUCCUGCUCGUGCCACCAGGCCCCGGGGCCGCGACGCGUCUCUCCAGCCCGGGAUCCGGGGAGCUGGGCUGUCCCCAGACCGACGGGACAGCGGCAUCUCCUCCACCUGAAAAGGAAAGAGGACCAGGUGGGGGCCAGGCAGGGCGCAUGAAGGCGGCGCCAGCACCGCGCGAUCCGAAUCACGUCGGUGCGGGGGAGGGGUCGGAGCCUGGCCUCGGCCUAGGGCGCAGAUGCGGUGCGCACCGCAGGGGGGCGGCGUGGGGUGCGGGGCCAGUCCCGCCGGGCACGGGGUCCUGGUCCUCAUCCCCUUCACCGCCGCCGCCCGCCUGGGCUGGCGUUUCCCCAGCGAGAGCGCGUAGUUUGCGCAGCGCCCCUCGCCCACGCCGCCGCUGGGUCGCGGGGCGCGCCUACCCAGAGCCGAGGUCCCGGACUCCCCGGCCAUCGCGACCCUUCCGGGGACUCCUCGCCCCUUCGCGGUGGGACCAAGGCCCGGGUGGGGCCGGGACAGGGUGGUGGGGGGAAGGGGGACCGUACAAAAGCAAACAGAAACCACGGGGGGCUCGCCGCGACGCCCAGUCCGAGGGCCUCUCGCCUGGAAGAGGGAAGAAACCCACGUCCUGGACGCGGGUGUGGGGUCUGUCCCGGGUCAGGACCUGUUGUCUCUGCGACGUUGCCAGUCCGGAGAGCUCGGAGGGCCAAUGCAGCCCCGGAUUCAACAAGAUGCGAAAGGACUUCUAAAGCCAGGAACCGGCACCCAGCCACGGCCACCGCCCGCCGGCCCGGCGCCCUGCCCCCACUCACUGCGCCCCCAAGUUCCGGCGCCGCGGGCUGCAGGGGUGACUUGGCUCGGCGUGCCUCGGGGCACGAGGCUCGGCCCCGCACGGCUCUCGGGUCCCGGGGGGCUGGGGUGGGAAGGGACAUGGCCGGCGCGCGGCGCUGGGGAGCCGGGUGCGCCAGGCUGGGGACCUUGCGUGGGGCAGGGCUUGGCUCAGCCGAGGGGCCGCGGCUCAGCCCCCCUCACCGGCCUUAAAGGUUCCCAGAGACGCAAAGUCGGACGCGGGUCCUGAGCGCGGAGCUACAGGGGGGAGCAUGGGGCAGCCCCCAAGGCGCGCUCCCUGCAUUUCCCACCCUUUCCACGCUGCCCUGCGCGCACGGUCGGGCGCCCUUGGGGUGGGCAGGGAGGCGCGGGCAGGGGCAGCGCCGAAGACCUCCCGCCGCCAUGGAGAAGGGGCUCCCCACCCACCCUCCUGCCCCAACCAUUAUAGAUCCCAGCCAGUGCGCCCCGCGCCCUUCCGGGACAAGCUGCCCCCAGGACCACCGUGCCCCAGUAUCAAGCGGACAGCAAAUCUCUCGGUGGCUCCUUUUGUAAGGGUUUCUGCCCUCAGGGUUGUUACGGGACAGAAAUGGUUUCAUCAGAAACAAGCCCUCCUCGCACACUCACAGUUUGCAGGACUCCGAACUGGGCCCGCGAGAUCUCCACCUGCGCAAAACGAAAGGGCGGAUUCUCCUUGGACUCACGAGGCAACCGCUCCCCGGGGUGAGAACGGGGGACUCAUUCCUCCGGCACUGGGAGAAGACGAUUCUUUAGGAGGAGGACAGGGAAGCGAAUGCUACCCAGGUGCGUAAUCACAUUUGGGCACCCUCGGGGGCCUGAGAGGAGGCCAGGGGUGACCUGCCCCCAUUCUCACAGGGGAGGGGCGGUGAGCCUAUUCUCACAGGUGUCUGUGAUGAGCCCAUGUUUUCCAAACUCCUCCGUGAUUCUAGAACAGUGCUAGAGAAGCCGUGAGCCAGCUGGCAGGCUGGAGUGCAAUGGCCUGACCCUGGCUCACUGCAACCUCCACCUCCCAGGUUCAAGUGAUUCUCCUGCCUCAGCCUCCUGAGUAGCUGGGAUUACAGGUGCCCACCACUAUGCCCAACUAAUUUUUGUGGAGACGGGGUUUCACCAUGUUGGCCAGUCAGGUCAAAUUCCUGACUUGAGGUCAAACUCCUGACCUCAGGUAAUCCACCCAUCUCGGUCUCCCAAAGUGCUGGGAUUACAGGUGUGAACCACCACACCUGGCCGAGGUCUGCUUUUCUGAUCAGACAAAAGUGGGUUCCAACCUUGACUCACUACAUGGCCUGGGCAAUGUGCCAGCAUCUUCCCAACCUCUCCCUGCACCCCCAAAUAAUCUCAUUCAAUCUUCAAAAAGCCCUUUGAGAUAAGUCCUAGGACUGCUGCAUUUACAGGUGAGGAAAUUAGGACCUGAAAGGUAAGACUGGGUUGGCCACAACCAACGCAGGGAGGAGAGCGGGGUGGACCCACGACCCAAGGUGGCGCCUGUCGGUUCUCCAAGCCCUCACUCCUCAUGUACCUGCCAUCCUGCCUCAACUUCGCAAAUUGCUUACGCAUGCUGAGCGUGUGUCCUCGUGUACACCGACAGCAUCAGGCUCCUAGUAUGGAUGCAAUAAGUACUGUGGAAUGAAUGAAUGAAUGAAUGAAUGAAAUGAAUGCACACCUCCCUACCCCCAGGGUGAUGAUAAGGACUGUGCAAGACAGAGUGGCUGCACACAGUAGGCCCUCUCAUGCAUGCAGUCGCUCUUCUAAAACAUCUCUAUGAAGCACCUGUUUUGUUCCAGGCAUUGAGGGAACAUUGGUGCUCAUUGGUUCUCUGUUCCUUGCAGACAGACCUGGGAGCAUUCUCCUUGGAGGUCCCCACCCUUGUGGGCUCUUUUUUUCUUGCUUUCCUUUCAGAGCCACCAAAAUGCCUGGACCUGGGCAGCUAACAGUGGGAUGAAUCUGCUUUAGAGACACCAGACUGCCAGCUAGAGAAUUGAAAUAACCUGAUUCUUAUCUAUUUUUCCAUCCAGAGAGGGCACACCAAGGCUAGGCCUCAUUUUUUUUUUCUUUAAACAUUUUUGUGUUGACAAAUAAUGUUUUAUAAAGGCCUCACUAUCUGCCAAACUGUGUCUCACUUCUCCCCAGCCCUGCCAGGUGUGGGGACACCGAACCCACCCAUAUCUCCUCUAGAAUCCACCGAGCACUGAGAUAGCCACAUCUCUAACCUACACCUUUAACUUACAAGCCACAGUCAAGAGGGCUUUGGAGAAAGGGAACCACAGAGGUAGCACGGACAAGCCUCCACUAUCUGCCCCUGGCGCAGGACGCCCACAACCCCAGACACGGUGCACAACGGUCCCUCAGGAAGCCUUUCCUUGAGUCCUACAUUUAACCACAGAGGCCCAGAGGCCCAGGCGUGGUGGUGACUGCCUGCUCGGCAUGCCCCAACCUUUUUUUUUUUUUGAGACAGAGUCUGUCGCCCAGGCUGGAGUGCAGUGGCAUGAUCUCGGCUCACUGCAUCCUCUGCCUCUGGGAUUUAAGCGAUUCUCCUGCCUCAGCCUCCUGAGUAGCUGGGACUACAGGCGCCCGCCACCAUGCCCGGCUAAUUUCUGUAUUUCUACUAGAGAUGGGGUUUCACCAUGUUGGUCAGGCUGGUCUCGAAUUCCUGACCACAAGUGAUCCACCCACCUCGGCCUCCCGAAGCACUGGAAUUACAGGCGUGAGCCACCAUGCCCUGCUGGCCUCCCGCUCUGAGAUUACCUUUUCACCUCAGAUGAGAAAAAUGAACUCAGUAAAGUGCUUGGGAAAGAAACAUCUCAAUCCAAGCCAAUGGGAAAGCCUGGCAAGGAACCCAAGGAAUGUGGAUCUCCAGGGAGCCCAUGGCUCCAUCUUGUUCAAAAGUGAGAAUUUAAAAAGGAGGAUGAGCUUGAGACCAGCCAGGGCACCAUAGUGAGACCCCAUCUCUACAAAAAAUUUUAAAAUUAGCCAGACAUGGUGGUGCACACUUGUAGUCCCAGCUACUCAGGAGGCUGAGGCAGGAGGAUCACUUGAGGCAGGAGUCUGAGGCUGCAAUGAGCCAAGAUCACACCAGUGCACUUCAGCCUGGACAACAGAGGGAGACCCUGUCU